UCUAUUAGGAGUUAUUAAUAGUCUGGCCUGCUCACUGACGAUUGUUUAAGAGCCGCGGUAUUUUGACCGUGCAAAGGUAGCAUAAUCAUUAGUUUUUUAAUUGAAAACUUGUAUGAAUGGUUAGACAAAAGAAUAACUGUCUUUAAUAUAAAAGUUGAAAUUAACUUUUAAGUGAAAAGGCUUAAAUAAUUCAGGGGGACGAUAAGACCCUAUAAAGCUUUAUAAUUUAUUUUAAUUUAAUUAAAUUAUAGUGUAUAAAAAUUUGAUUAAAAGAUAGUAUUUUGUUGGGGCGACAUAGGUAUAAUUUUUGUAACUGUUUAAAAUUAAUACAAUAAUAGAUGUAUAAAAUUUAAUUGAUCCUUUAUUAAGAUUAAAGAUUAAGUUACUUUAGGGAUAACAGCGUUAUUUCUUUUGAGAGUUCAUAUCGAAAAAGAAGUUUGCGACCUCGAUGUUGAAUUAAAUAUCUCUUCAGUGUAGC
rnacentral:rRNA from 1 species